rnacentral:rRNA from 1 species
GUGACUGACGCUCAGGCACGAAAGCGUGGGGAUCAAACAGGAUUAGAUACCCUGGUAGUCCACGCAGUAAACGAUGAGGACUUGUUGUCGGCGAUAGAAUGUCGGUGACAAAGCGAAAGCGAUAAGUCCUCCACCUGGGGAGUACGAUCGCAAGGUUGAAACUCAAAGGAAUUGACGGGGGCCCGCACAAGCGGAGGAGCAUGUGGUUUAAUUCGAUGAUACGCGAGGAACCUUACCUGGACUCAAAUGUUGGACGGCGGCCGCAGAAAUGCGGUUUCCCUUCGGGGCGUCCAGCAAGGUGCUGCAUGGUUGUCGUCAGCUCGUGCCGUGAGGUGUCAGGUUAAGUCCUAUAACGAGCGCAACCCCUACGUCCAGUUGCCAGCGGGUAAAGCCGGGGACUCUGGAGGGACUGCCGGCGCAAGCCGAGAGGAAGGUGGGGAUGACGUCAAAUCAGCACGGCCCUUACGUCCAGGGCGACACACGUGCUACAAUGGCCGGUACAGAGGGCAGCCACCUGGCGACAGGGAGCGAAUCUCGAAAGCCGGUCUCAGUUCGGAUCGGAGUCUGCAACCCGACUCCGUGAAGUUGGAUUCGCUAGUAA